GACGAACGCUGGCGGCGUGCUUAACACAUGCAAGUCGUACGGUAAGGCCCUUUCGGGGGUACACGAGUGGCGAACGGGUGAGUAACACGUGAGUAACCUGCCCACAACUUUGGGAUAACGCUAGGAAACUGGUGCUAAUACUGGAUAUGUGCUCCUGCUGCAUGGUGGGGGUUGGAAAGCUCCGGCGGUUGUGGAUGGACUCGCGGCCUAUCAGCUUGUUGGUGGGGUAGUGGCCUACCAAGGCGGCGACGGGUAGCCGGCCUGAGAGGGUGACCGGCCACAUUGGGACUGAGAUACGGCCCAGACUCCUACGGGAGGCAGCAGUGGGGAAUAUUGCACAAUGGGCGCAAGCCGGAUGCAGCAACGCCGCGGGCGGGAUGACGGCCUUCGGGUUGGAAACCGCUUUCAGCAGGGACGAAGCUUUUUGUGACGGUACCUGCAGAAGAAGCACCGGCUAACUACGUG
rnacentral:rRNA from 1 species